rnacentral:rRNA from 1 species
GACGAACGCUGGCGGCGUGCUUAACACAUGCAAGUCGAACGGAAAGGCCCUGCUUUUGUGGGGUGCUCGAGUGGCGAACGGGUGAGUAACACGUGAGUAACCUGCCCUUGACUUUGGGAUAACUUCAGGAAACUGGGGCUAAUACCGGAUAGGAGCUCCUGCUGCAUGGUGGUGGUUGGAAAGUUUCGGCGGUUGGGGAUGGACUCGCGGCUUAUCAGCUUGUUGGUGGGGUAGUGGCUUACCAAGGCUUUGACGGGUAGCCGGCCUGAGAGGGUGACCGGCCACAUUGGGACUGAGAUACGGCCCAGACUCCUACGGGAGGCAGCAGUGGGGAAUAUUGCACAAUGGGCGGAAGCCUGAUGCAGCAACGCCGCGUGCGGGAUGACGGCCUUCGGGUUGUAAACCGCUUUCGCAUGUGACGAAGCGUGAGUGACGGUAAUGGGUAAAGAAGCACCGGCUAACUACGUG